rnacentral:rRNA from 1 species
CACUCCUACGGGAGGCAGCAGUGGGGAAUUUUGGACAAUGGGCGAAAGCCUGAUCCAGCAAUGCCGCGUGAGUGAAGAAGGCCUUCGGGUUGUAAAGCUCUUUUGUCAGGGAAGAAACGGUGAAAGCUAAUAUCUUUUGCUAAUGACGGUACCUGAAGAAUAAGCACCGGCUAACUACGUGCCAGCAGCCGCGGUAAUACGUAGGGUGCAAGCGUUAAUCGGAAUUACUGGGCGUAAAGCGUGCGCAGGCGGUUUUGUAAGUCUGAUGUGAAAUCCCCGGGCUCAACCUGGGAAUUGCAUUGGAGACUGCAAGGCUAGAAUCUGGCAGAGGGGGGUAGAAUUCCACGUGUAGCAGUGAAAUGCGUAGAUAAGUGGAGGAACACCGAUGGCGAAGGCAGCCCCCUGGGUCAAGAUUGACGCUCAUGCACGAAAGCGUGGGGAGCAAACAGGAUUAGAAACCCUUGUAGUCCCAUGAU